GCAACAUGAAGGGAACCAUGGUCCUGUCAGCCGGGUUUCUGCAGCUUUCUGUCCGUUUCCAGCUUCCAGGGUCGUGGAGCAGAAACCAGAGCUGGAGGAGGACUGAAAGUGAAGCGAAGGAACUGCAGGAAACACGAGAGAGAAGAGAGUUGCCGCUGAAAGCACACCAGCUCAUGUGUGAUUGAUUUCGUUCAAACAGAGUUGCUUGGAGUUCUAUCCAGGAGUACUUAUUCACCAUUGACUGGACCUUCCAGAUACAGGAGCCUUCAUACCACAGUACUUGAGACACAUUCACUGCACUCAGAUGAUCUCCAUUUCAAUAACUGUCUGACUUCUAGCACCAGUUGGCUGCACCUGUUUUGAAUUACUUGAAUCACUUUUAAGGGGGUGAACACUUAGAAUAGAAUAUCUUUAUUGGCAUUGCAAAUUUGCAAUGAAAUUAGUCAAUAAUCUCUUAGUGCGUAAUGAAUAAAUACAAAGUGUGUCGUAGGAAUUGCUAUUAGGUGAGUGAUUCACUUAUGUUGAUCAUCAUUACAUAUAUUUGAACAAUAAAUAUUAAUUAUAUG